rnacentral:tRNA from 1 species
AAUGAAAUGCCUGAUAAAAGGAUUAUUUUGAUAGAAUAAAUUAUGUAAUUAAAUUACUUUCAUUA